UGGCUCAAUGUAGCUCAGGGGCAGAGCACAUGCUUGGCAUACAGAAGGUCCCAGGUUCAAUCCCUGACUUCCCAA